CAAAGUAAGUUGCAAGAACAUUGACCAGUCUGUAUUAGUUAUGCUCCUUAGUGUGCACAAACGGAAGCAAACACUUUCCACUUUUCCCAGCCUGAACUUUUACAGAGUAAUAGCUAAUCCAUAGAUAGGAAUAUCUAAAAGACCGGAAAUGUCUAAGUUUGCUCAGCCUUGCAGCAUUCUUAACUAAAUUACACGAGCUCCAACUUCAUCAGUUUAGUUUACACUGCAGUAGACAUUUUUCUUUCCUAAAGGGGCAAAUUUACUGGUGCUCCUGCAAUUACAUUAUGCACCAAAUCUUAAUAUUUCACUCGUUGCAGCAGCUACUUUCAGGGUUUAAACCACAUAGACAUAUCAGUGGGAAGGUGGGCAAGCUACUAAAUCCAAAUAAAUACCGUAUCAUACAGGAGAAAAUCCAUACGGUGAGGUUUACUUCCGGAAACCAUUAGGAUCAGAAAGGAAUCGUAAUGUGCAAAUCUAAGUUAAACAGAAACAAUGUUUUCAUAAAGCAUCAAUGGUGUAAGCAUACGCAAGAUUCCAUUAACGCACAUCAAAACAGUUUUUCCAAGUUAUGAGCAACCAAUAGCCCUCUGUAUUAAACAUAGACUCAUUGAGUACACAUAAAAAAAAUCCAACAUCAAAAGUUACCAAACGAACCUUGUGAAUAAAUCUGAAAAGAAAUACCGUAUCAUACAGGAGAAAAUCCAUACAAUGAGUAGUUCACAUCCGGAAACCAUUAGGAUCAGAAAGGAAAUUUAAUGUAAAAAUCUAAGUU
rnacentral:lncRNA from 1 species